UAAUUUUUGGGGGCUAGAAAGCAUGAAAAAUGAAGGGGAAUGGUGCAUCUAUUUAUAGGGAAAGCUAGUGGGAAAAUGGGGGAAACCAAAUACCCUUUGUGAAAAAAAAAAGACUCUUUUUUUGGAGUCCGCUCAAGGCAAAUCCGGUUUCCCUUUUUUUUUUCUUUUUUUUUUAAAAAGUCAUGCUUUGAUCCCAUGCAAUAUGUAUUUGGUUAUGAAAAUUAAUAUAAUUAUGAUGAUGAGAUAAUGAAAGAAUGCAUGCAUGUGCAGUAGGGUCAUG
rnacentral:lncRNA from 1 species